rnacentral:rRNA from 1 species
AUUGAACGGUGGCGGAAUGCUUUACACAUGCAAGUCGAACGGCAGCACGGGGGCAACCCUGGUGGCGAGUGGCGAACGGGUGAGUAAUAUAUCGGAACGUGCCCAGUCGUGGGGGAUAACGUAGCGAAAGUUACGCUAAUACCGCAUACGAUCUACGGAUGAAAGCGGGGGAUCGCAAGACCUCGCGCGAUUGGAGCGGCCGAUAUCAGAUUAGGUAGUUGGUGGGGUAAAGGCUCACCAAGCCAACGAUCUGUAGCUGGUCUGAGAGGACGACCAGCCACACUGGGACUGAGACACGGCCCAGACUCCUACGGGAGGCAGCAGUGGGGAAUUUUGGACAAUGGGCGCAAGCCUGAUCCAGCCAUUCCGCGUGCAGGACGAAGGCCUUCGGGUUGUAAACUGCUUUUGUACGGAACGAAAAAGCCUUGGCUAAUACCCGGGGUCCAUGACGGUACCGUAAGAAUAAGCACCGGCUAACUACGUGCCAGCAGCCGCGGUAAUACGUAGGGUGCGAGCGUUAAUCGGAAUUACUGGGCGUAAAGCGUGCGCAGGCGGUUAUAUAAGACAGAUGUGAAAUCCCCGGGCUCAACCUGGGAACUGCAUUUGUGACUGUAUAGCUAGAGUGCGGCAGAGGGGGAUGGAAUUCCGCGUGUAGCAGUGAAAUGCGUAGAUAUGCGGAGGAACACCGAUGGCGAAGGCAAUCCCCUGGGCCUGCAC